rnacentral:rRNA from 1 species
CCUUUGUACACACCGCCCGUCGCUACUACCGAUUGAAUGGCUUAGUGAGACCUCCGGAUUGGCUUUGGGGAGUCGGAAACGACACCUCGUCGCUGAAAAGUUGGUCAAACUUGGUCAUUUAGAGG